rnacentral:rRNA from 1 species
GCAAUGGGUGCGCCUCGGGAGGGGCCUGCGGGCUAUCAGCUUGUUGGUGGGGUAAUGGCUUACCAAGGCGAAGACGGCUAUGGGGCGUGAGAGCGCGACCCCCCACAAUGGAACUGAGACACGGUCCAUACUCCUACGGGAGGCAGCAGUGAGGAAUAUUGCGCAAUGGGGGCAACCCUGACGCAGCAACGCCGCGUGGACGAUGAAGGCCUUCGGGUUGUAAAGUCCUUUUCUGAAGGAAGAUAGUGACGGUACUUCAGGAAUAAGUCCCGGCUAACUACGUGCCAGCAGCCGCGGUAAAACGUAGGGGGCGAGCGUUAUCCGGAUUUACUGGGCGUAAAGCGCACGUAGGCGGCAUCGUAAGUUGGACGUGAAAGCUCCCGGCUCAACUGGGAGAGGUCGUUCAAAACUGUGGUGCUUGAGGUUGAUAGAGGAGAGUGGAAUUCCCGGUGUAGUGGUGGAAUGCGUAGAUAUCGGGAGGAACACCAGUGGCGAAGGCGGCUCUCUAGGUCACACCUGACGCUUGAGGUGCGAAAGCGUGGGGAGCGAACGGGAUUAGAUACCCCGGUAGUCCACGCUGUAAACGAUGGAUACUAGGUGUGGGAGGUUAUUUACCCCUUCUGUGCCGUAGCUAACGCGUUAAGUAUCCCGCCUGGGGACUACGGCCGCAAGGUUAAAACUCAAAGGAAUUGACGGGGGCCCGCACAAGCAGCGGAGCGUGUGGUUUAAUUCGAUGAUACGCGAAGAACCUUACCUGGGCUUGACAUGGUGGUAGUAGUGAAGCGAAAGCGGAACGACCCUUCGGGGAGCCAUCACAGGUGCUGCAUGGCUGUCGUCAGCUCGUGUCGUGAGAUGUUGGGUUAAGUCCCGCAACGAGCGCAACCCUCGUCGCUAGUUAUAUGUGUCUAGUGAGACUGCCGGUAUCAAACCGGAGGAAGGUGGGGAUGACGUCAAGUCAGCAUGGUCUUUAUGUCCAGGGCUACACACACGCUACAAUGGCCGGUACAAUGGGUUGCCAUACCGCGAGGUGGAGCUAAUCCUCAAAGCCGGUCUCAGUUCGGAUUGCAGUCUGCAACUCGACUGCAUGAAGGUGGAGUUGCUAGUAACCGCGCGUCAGCA